rnacentral:rRNA from 1 species
ACAGUGGACGCGAGCAUCUGUGGCCAAGUUUUUAAGGGCGCACGGUGGAUGCCUUGGCACCAGGAACCGAUGAAGGACGUGGGAGGCCACGAUAGUCCCCGGGGAGUCGUCAACCAGGCUUUGAUCCGGGGGUUUCCGAAUGGGGAAACCCGGCAGUCGUCAUGGGCUGUCACCCUUGCCUGAACACAUAGGGCAAGUGGAGGGAACGCGGGGAAGUGAAACAUCUCAGUACCCGCAGGAAGAGAAAACAACCGUGAUUCCGGGAGUAGUGGCGAGCGAAACCGGAUGAGGCCAAACCGUAUGCGUGUGAGACCCGGCAGGGGUUGCGCAUUCGGGGUUGUGGGAUCUCUCUUCUACGGUCUGCCGGCCGUGGGACGAGUCAGAAACCGUUGAUGUAGGCGAAGGACAUGCGAAAGGUCCGGCGUAGAGGGUAAGACCCCCGUAGUCGAAACAUCAGCGGCUCGUUUGAGAGACACCCAAGUAGCACGGGGCCCGAGAAAUCCCGUGUGAAUCUGGCGGGACCACCCGCUAAGCCUAAAUAUUCCCUGGUGACCGAUAGCGGAUAGUACCGUGAGGGAAUGGUGAAAAGUACCGCGGGAGCGGAGUGAAAUAGUACCUGAAACCGUGUGCCUACAAGCCGUGGGAGCGUCGGAACAAGGCUUGCCUUGUUCUCGUGACUGCGUGCCUUUUGAAGAAUGAGCCUGCGAGUUUGCGGUGUGUUGCGAGGUUAACCCGGGUGGGGAAGCCGUAGCGAAAGCGAGUCCGAAUAGGGCGUUUCAGUAGCACGCUCAAGACCCGAAGCGGAGUGAUCUAGCCAUGGGCAGGUUGAAGCGGAGGUAAGACUUCGUGGAGGACCGAACCCACCAGGGUUGAAAACCUGGGGGAUGACCUGUGGUUAGGGGUGAAAGGCCAAUCAAACUCCGUGAUAGCUGGUUCUCCCCGAAAUGCAUUUAGGUGCAGCGUCGUGUGUUUCUUGCCGGAGGUAGAGCACUGGAUAGGCGAUGGGCCCUACCGGGUUACUGACCUUAGCCAAACUCCGAAUGCCGGUAAGUGAGAGCGCGGCAGUGAGACUGUGGGGGAUAAGCUCCAUGGUCGAGAGGGAAACAGCCCAGAGCAUCGACUAAGGCCCCUAAGCGUACGCUAAGUGGGAAAGGAUGUGGAGUCGCACAGACAACCAGGAGGUUGGCUUAGAAGCAGCCACCCUUGAAAGAGUGCGUAAUAGCUCACUGGUCUAGUGAUUCCGCGCCGACAAUGUAGCGGGGCUCAAGCGUACCGCCGAAGUCGUGUCAUUGCGAUAUGUACCCCCAACGGGGAUCGUGAUGGGUAGGGGAGCGUCGUGUGCCGGGUGAAGCAGCGCCGGAAGGCAGUUGUGGACGGUUCACGAGUGAGAAUGCAGGCAUGAGUAGCGAUUCACACGUGAGAAACGUGUGCGCCGAUUGACUAAGGGUUCCUGGGUCAAGCUGAUCUGCCCAGGGUAAGUCGGGACCUAAGGCGAGGCCGACAGGCGUAGUCGAUGGAUAACCGGUUGAUAUUCCGGUACCCGCUGUGAAGCGUCAAACAUCGAAUCCAGUGAUGCUAAGCCCGUGAAGCCGCCGGCUGAGUCUUCGGACGAGGUCGGAGUGGUGGAGCCGGUGACCCGAGCUGGUAGUAGGUGAGUGAUGGGGUGACGCAGGAAGGUAGUCCAUCCCGGGCGGUGGUUGUCCCGGGGUAAGGGUGUAGGACGUCAGGUAGGUAAAUCCGCCUGGCACAUAGUCUGAGACCUGAUGCCGAGCCGAUUGUGGUGAAGUGGAUGAUCCUAUGCUGUCGAGAAAAGCCUCUAGCGAGUUUCAUGGCGGCCCGUACCCUAAACCGACUCAGGUGGUCAGGUAGAGAAUACCGAGGCGUUCGGGUGAACUAUGGUUAAGGAACUCGGCAAAAUGCCCCCGUAACUUCGGGAGAAGGGGGGCCACGUCUGGUGAGAGCACUUGCUGCUCGAGCUGGGGGUGGCCGCAGAGACCAGCGAGAAGCGACUGUUUACUAAAAACACAGGUCCGUGCGAAGCCGUAAGGCGAUGUAUACGGACUGACGCCUGCCCGGUGCUGGAACGUUAAGGGGACCGGUUAGCUCACUUUCGGGUGGGCGAAGCUGAGAACUUAAGCGCCAGUAAACGGCGGUGGUAACUAUAACCAUCCUAAGGUAGCGAAAUUCCUUGUCGGGUAAGUUCCGACCUGCACGAAUGGCGUAACGACUUCUCGACUGUCUCAACCAUAGGCCCGGUGAAAUUGCACUACGAGUAAAGAUGCUCGUUUCGCGCAGCAGGACGGAAAGACCCCGGGACCUUUACUACAGUUUGAUAUUGGUGUUCGGUUCGGCUUGUGUAGGAUAGCUGGGAGACUUUGAACUCUGGACGCCAGUUCAGGGGGAGUCGUCGUUGAAAUACCAGUCUGGUCGUGCUGGAUGUCUAACCUGGGUCCGUGAUCCGGAUCAGGGACAGUGUCUGAUGGGUAGUUUAACUGGGGCGGUUGCCUCCUAAAGAGUAACGGAGGCGCCCAAAGGUUCCCUCAGCCUGGUUGGCAAUCAGGUGUUGAGUGUAAGUGCACAAGGGAGCUUGACUGUGAGACCGACGGGUCGAGCAGGGACGAAAGUCGGGACUAGUGAUCCGGCGGUGGCUUGUGGAAGCGCCGUCGCUCAACGGAUAAAAGGUACCCCGGGGAUAACAGGCUGAUCUUCCCCAAGAGUCCAUAUCGACGGGAUGGUUUGGCACCUCGAUGUCGGCUCGUCGCAUCCUGGGGCUGGAGUCGGUCCCAAGGGUUGGGCUGUUCGCCCAUUAAAGCGGUACGCGAGCUGGGUUUAGAACGUCGUGAGACAGUUCGGUCCCUAUCCGCUGUGCGCGUAGGAGUCUUGAGAAGGGCUGUCCCUAGUACGAGAGGACCGGGACGGACGAACCUCUGGUGUGCCAGUUGUUCUGCCAAGGGCAUGGCUGGUUGGCUACGUUCGGGAGGGAUAACCGCUGAAAGCAUCUAAGCGGGAAGCCUGCUUCGAGAUGAGGACUCCCACCUCCUAGAGAGGGUAAGGCUCCCAGUAGACGACUGGGUUGAUAGGCCGGAUAUGGAAGCACGGUAACGUGUGGAGUUGACCGGUACUAAUAGGCCGAGGGCUUGUCCUCAGUUG